rnacentral:lncRNA from 1 species
UUUAACUUUUGCUUCAAUACCACAUUUUGUUUAUACAUUCAGCAGCUGAUGGGCAUUUGGGUUGCAUCCACUUUUUGGCUGUUCUGAAGAGUGUUACUGUGAACAUUCAUGCACAAAUUUUUAUGUGGAGGUCUGUAUACAACUUAGGACCAAGAGGUGGACUUUGGUGUCUUAGUUCAAGCUCUAAAAAUACCAGGGAAGCAGGGACCACGACACAUCCCAGGCUUGGUGCAGAAACCUGACCUGAAUUGGACCUUAAGAUCAGAAUAUAGAUCUAUUGUCUUUCCUCACCUGGCUGUUACCAAACUAACUUCCGCAUCUCCUGGGAGUGCUUUCUAUUUCAUCCAGGCAGUGCCCUUAUCUGAUCUGGAGUGGGUUUAUCUCUGGGAGAGCUAUUGAAGUGCCUGACAGGAGAGGACACUAAGAGUACCUCCAGUCUCCAACUGCCUCCUCCGGCAGAACUGAGCAAGUCCUAACCAUGCCAAAAACAUCAUUAUCUCUGGUUCCAUCUUAGUCCCUGCACACCCUAGGAUUCAAGGACUCAACUGACUUCAAAAGAGCUGAGGACACACAGAGGAA